CCUACGGGCGGCAGCAGUGGGGGAUAUUGCACAAUGGGGGAAACCCUGAUGCAGCGACGCCGCGUGUGGGAAGACGGUCUUCUGGAUUGUAAACCACUGUCCCCAGGGACGAAAAUGACGGUACCUGGGGAGGAAGCGCCGGCUAACUACGUGCCCGCAGCCGCGGUAAGACGGAGGGAGCAAGCGUUUUCCGGAAUUACUGGGUGUACAGGGAGCGUAGGCGGGGAUGCAAGGUGGGUGUCAAAACUACCGGCUCAACCGAUAGUCGCACUCCAAACUGCAGCUCUGUAGUGCAGUAGAGGCAGGCGUCAUUCCUAGUGUCGCGGUUCAAUGCGUAGCUCUUAGGCGGACCCCCAGUGGCGACGGCGGCCUGCUGGGCUUUUCCUGACGCUGCGGCUC
rnacentral:rRNA from 1 species